UACGAAGGGGGCUAGCGUUGUUCGGAGUUACUGGGCGUAAAGGGCGCGUAGGCGGCGCACCAAGUCAGGCGUGAAAGCCCUGGGCUCAACCCGGGAAUUGCGCUUGAGACUGGUGUGCUCGAGUACGGGAGAGGAUAGUGGAAUUCCCAGUGUAGAGGUGAAAUUCGUAGAUAUUGGGAAGAACACCGGUGGCGAAGGCGGCUAUCUGGACCGUAACUGACGCUGAGGCGCGAAAGCAUGGGGAGCAAACAGG
rnacentral:rRNA from 1 species